AUUGAACGCUGGCGGCAGGCCUAACACAUGCAAGUCGAACGGCAGCACAGGAGAGCUUGCUCUUUGGGUGGCGAGUGGCGGAUGGGUGAGUAAUGUCUGGGAAACUGCCCGAUGGAGGAGGAUAACUACUGGAAACGGUAGCUAAUACCGCAUAACGUCGCGAGACCAAAGUGGGGGACCUUCGGGCAUCACACCAUGUGAUGUGCCCAGAUGGGAUUAGCUAGUAGGUGGGGUAAUGGCUCACCCAGGCGACGAUCCCUAGCUGGUCUGAGAGGAUUACCAGCCACACUGGAACUGAGACACGGUCCAGACUCCUACGGGAGGCAGCAGUGGGGAAUAUUGCACAAUGGGCGCAAGCCUGAUGCAGCCAUGCCGCGUGUAUGAAGGAGGCCUUCGGGUUGUAAAGUACUUUCAGCGGGGAGGAAGGCGGUGAGGUUAAUAACCUUGCCGAUUGACGUUACCCGCAGAAGAAGCACCGGCUAACUCCGUGCCAGCCGCCGCGGUAA
rnacentral:rRNA from 1 species